GACAGAGGGUGCAAACGUUGUUCGGAAUUACUGGGCGUAAAGCGCGUGUAGGCUGCUUCGAAAGUCGGAUGUGAAAGCCCUGGGCUCAACCUAGGAAGUGCAUUCGAAACUUCGAAGCUUGAGUUCUGGAGAGGAAGGCGGAAUUCUCGGUGUAGAGGUGAAAUUCGUAGAUAUCGAGAGGAACACCGGUGGCGAAGGCGGCCUUCUGGACAGUGACUGACGCUGAGACGCGAAAGCGCGGGGAGCAAACAGG
rnacentral:rRNA from 1 species